UUUUUUUUUUUUUUUUAGUAUUUUAUUUGAGAGACAGCGAGAGAGAGAGCAUGAGCAGGGAGAGGCAGAAGUCAGCUCCCAGCCGAACAAGGAGCCCAGUGCUGGGCUCAAUCCUGGGACUCCCGAAUCACGACCUGAGCUGAAGGCAGAAGCUUAACCGACUGAGCUUCCCCGGGCGCCCCUCAUAUUGAUAUUUUGACCUCUUCCAUGAAUCUUUUUUUUUUUCUUUUUUUUUUUUUAGUAGGCUCCAUACCCAGCACAGAACCCAACAUGGGGCUUUAACUCACGACCCUGAGAUUAAGAGCUGAGCUGAGAGUUGGGACACUCAACCAACUGAACCACUCAGGCACCUCACAGAUUUUAAUGGCAUCAGGAAUGGUGAAUCCUUUCCAGGUUUUCAAUUAACUUUGCCCAGAUCCAUCAGAAGAAUCAUCUAUGGCAGCCAUAGCCUGACGAAACAUAUUUCUUAAUAAGGCUUGAAAGUUGAAAUGACUCCUCCAUCCAUGGGCUGCAGGGUGGAUGUUUUGUUCGCAGGCUUGAAAACAACAUUAAUGUCAUUGUACAUCUCCUUCAGAGCUCUUGGGUGACCAGAUGCCUUGUCAAUGAGCAGUAAUAUUUUGAAAGGAAUCUUUUUUUCUGAGCAGGUCCCAACAAUGAGCUUAAAAUAUUCAGCAAACCAUGCUGUCAACAGAUGUGCUGUCAUCUGGGCUUUGUUCCAUUUACAGAGCACAGGUAGAGUAGAUUGAGCAUAAUCCUUAAGGGCUCUAGGAUUUUCAGAAUGGUAACAAACACUCUUUCAACUUAAGUCACCAGCUGCGUUAGCCCUUAGCAAGAGAGUCAGCCUGUCCUCUGAAGUUUGAAGCCAGACAUUGACUUCUCCUCUCUAGCUAUGAAAGUCCUAGAAGGCAUCUUCUUCCAAUAUAAGGCUGUUUUGUCUUCAUUGAAAAUCUGUAGUUUAGUGCAGCCACCUUCAUGAAUUCUCUUAGCUGGAUCUUCUGAGAACUUGGUGCAGCCUCUACAUCAGCACUUCCAUGGAGA
rnacentral:lncRNA from 1 species